CCUACGGGCGGCAGCAGUGAGGAAUAUUGGUCAAUGGGCGGGAGCCUGAACCAGCCAUGCCGCGUGCGGGAAGAAGGCUCUGUGUAUUGUAAACUUCUUUUGUCAGGGAACAAACGCGGAUACUCGUCUCUGUCUGAGGGUAUCGUACGAAUAAGGAUCGGCUAACUCCGUGCCAGCAGCUGCGGUAAUACGGAGGAUUCAAGCGUUAUCCGGAUUUAUUGGGUUUAAAGGGUGCGGAGGCGGUCGGAUAAGUUAGCGGUGAAAUCCCGAGGCUCAACUUCGGAGUAGCCUUUGAAACUGUCCGGCUAGAGAGGAGGUGAGGUAGGCGGAAUGUAUGGUGUAGCGGUGAAAUGCUUAGAGAUCAUACAGAACACCGAUUGCGAAGGCAGCGUACCA
rnacentral:rRNA from 1 species